CUUAAAUUGUCGUUUUUCAGGUCGGACUUCUGCUAAUGCAACAUUCGAAGACUCAACAGCCAUCGUCUUACAUGCCGAAACUCCUAUUUCAGUUGCUCUGUGCUUGGUAAAUUAUGGAUAAUUUGUAACAGGUUGAACGGGAUAGGUUGGCUUUAAGCUCUUUUAAUUUGUAUGCAGUAGAGCCAACACUUGCCCACCGAAAAGCAGAAUUAGCAGCAAAAGUGAAAUCAAAAGGCCUCAUGGCUAUCAUGGGCUAAGCAAUUACUGGUUAACAACUCUUUGUUAUGUGUUAAAAUUAGGUAAGGCUCACUAUGACAAUGCUUUAUUGCAAAUGUAAGAACCUACUAAAUACAGAAACUUUAAAUGGAAAGGCAAGCUUCUUUCCUUUUUGAAAUCAUCUCUGCCCGAACGGUGGAAGAUGGGGCUUUGUACUGAACGAAACAUUUGUAAGUUACAGCGUUGUUAAGUCAUGCUGUGAUGACUCUUCUGGUUUAGCAUCUGCAAUGGAAAAGGGUUCCCUUUUUACGGCAGAAGAAACUGUAUAUAUGUACAAUAUCUAUUGCAUUCUUAAUAUUUCCAUUCUUUGGCAGCCAUUUUCAGAGUCCAAAACAAUUCCUCAGUAAGAGAAGUCAUCAGUAUUGAAUUGUGUUUACGCCGAAGUGAGCACCCUGUUAGAAUGUUCAAUUUGGGUGGCACUGGAUUUUUGAUUGUGAUGAUAAUUCAUCUCUUAUUUGUAAUAUGAUGUGCCAUUAACCGUUUAUGGGAUUUAUAUGGAAAAGGCAAUUGCAGAUGAUGAAUUGAGUUUGAGUUGAGCCAAACGCUCCGUCCUUAAUCCCAGCACAAAAGAAGCCUCUUUUUGUUUUUGAAAGAGCAACAGAAGUAGGAAGAAUGCAUGUAACAUUCAUUUCUUCUUGUUCAGUCUAUUUUUUUCAAUAUUUUAAUGUAUAAUGCUCAAUAAUGCACGACCUAUGAAAAUAGAGUGAAACAACAUUGGGCA